GGGGUUGCAUACAAUAAACUUGGAACGAUACAGAGAAGAUUAGCAUGGCCCCUGCACAAGGAUGACACAUGCAUGUCAGAAAGGUUGUCUCUAUGGAGACCAAUUUUUUGAACACCUCGCCGCCCCUCACCCGGUUGGUUCGUCCUCUCGAACCCCUACGAUUUCUGGGGCACUCUGCGACUCGAUAAGCUGCAAACGAGCGAGCGCGCGGCAGGAGACGAGG
rnacentral:misc_RNA from 1 species